rnacentral:rRNA from 1 species
GUGGGGAAUCUUGCGCAAUGGGCGAAAGCCUGACGCAGCCAUGCCGCGUGGAUGAUGAAGGUCUUAGGAUUGUAAAAUCCUUUCACCGGUGAAGAUAAUGACUGUAGCCGGAGAAGAAGCCCCGGCUAACUUCGUGCCAGCAGCCGCGGUAAUACGAAGGGGGCUAGCGUUGCUCGGAUUUACUGGGCGUAAAGGGCGCGUAGGCGGACAUUUAAGUCAGGGGUGAAAUCCCGGGGCUCAAACUCGGAACUGCCUUGUAUACUGGGUGUCUUGAGUAUGAGAGAGGUGUGUGGAACUCCGAGUGUAGAGGUGAAAUUCGUAGAUAUUCGGAAGAACACCAGUGGCGAAGGCGACACACUGGCUCAUUACUGACGCUGAGGCGCGAAAGCGUGGGGAGCAAACAGGAUUAGAUACCCCUGUAGUCC